UACAGAGGUCCCGAGCGUUGUUCGGAUUCACUGGGCGUAAAGGGUGCGCAGGUGGGUUGGCAAGUUUGAUGUGAAAGCCCCGGGCUUAACCCGGGAAAGGCAUUGAAUACUGCUGAUCUGGAGGAUCGGAGGGGGACUGGAAUUCUUGGUGUAGCAGUGAAAUGCGUAGAUAUCAAGAGGAACACCAGUGGCGAAGGCGAGUCCCUGGACGAUACCUGACACUGAGGCACGAAAGCCAAGGGAGCAAACAGG
rnacentral:rRNA from 1 species